rnacentral:rRNA from 1 species
AAACUGGCGGCGUGCUUAAGGAUGCAAAAUCGAACGAGGAAAGAGAAAGCUUGCUGGGUGGUUCCAUGGCGAACGGGUGAGUAACACGUGAGUAACCUGCCCCGGACUCUGGGAUAAGCGCUGGAAACGGCGUCUAAUACUGGAUAUGACCCAUACCGGCGUCGGUUGUGGGUGGAAAGAUUUAUCGGUUCGGGAUGGGCUCGCGGCCUAUCAGCUGGAUGGUGAGGUAACGGCUCACCAUGGCGACCACGGGUAGCCGGCCUGAGAGGGUGACCGGCCACACUGGGACUGAAACACGGCCCAAACUCCUACGGGAGGCAGCAGUGGGGAAUAUUGCACAAUGGGCGAAAGCCUGAUGCAGCAACGCCGCGUGAGGGAUGACGGCCUUCGGGUUGUAAACCUCUUUUAGUAGGGAAGAAGCGAAAGUGACGGUACCUGCAGAAAAAGCACCGGCUAACUACGUGCCAGCAGCCGCGGGUAAUACGUAGGGUGCAAGCGUUGUCCGGAAUUAUUGGGCGAAAAAACUCCCAGGCGGCUUGUCCCGUCUGCCGUGAAACCCAGGGCUCAACCUGGGCGUGCGGGGGGUACGGGCAGGCUAGAGUGCGGUAGGGAAAUUGGAAUUCCUGGGGGUACCGGUGGAAUGCCCAAUUUCCGAGA